rnacentral:rRNA from 1 species
UUGAAGCGUGGACGCCAGUCUGCGUGGAGCCAACCUUGAAAUACCACCCUUUAAUGUUUGAUGUUCUAACGUAGGCCCCUUAUCGGGGUUGCGGACAGUGUCUGGUGGGUAGUUUGACUGGGGCGGUCUCCUCCCAAAGAGUAACGGAGGAGCACGAAGGUUAGCUAAUCCUGGUCGGACAUCAGGAGGUUAGUGCAAUGGCAUAAGCUAGCUUGACUGCGAGCGUGACGGCGCGAGCAGGUGCGAAAGCAGGUCAUAGUGAUCCGGUGGUUCUGAAUGGAAGGGCCAUCGCUCAACGGAUAAAAGGUACUCCGGGGAUAACAGGCUGAUACCGCCCAAGAGUUCAUAUCGACGGCGGUGUUUGGCACCUCGAUGUCGGCUCAUCACAUCCUGGGGCUGAAGUAGGUCCCAAGGGUAUGGCUGUUCGCCAUUUAAAGUGGUACGCGAGCUGGGUUUAGAACGUCGUGAGACAGUUCGGUCCCUAUCUGCCGUGGGCGCUGGAGAAUUGAGGGGGGCUGCUCCUAGUACGAGAGGACCGGAGUGGACGCAUCACUGGUGUUCGGGUUGUCAUGCCAAUGGCACUGCCCGGUAGCUAAAUGCGGAAGAGAUAAGUGCUGAAAGCAUCUAAGCACGAAACUUGCCCCGAGAUGAGUUCUCCCUGAGACUAUAAGUCUCCUGAAGGAACGUUGAAGACGACGACGUUGAUAGGCCGGGUGUGUAAGCGCAGCGAUGCGUUGAGCUAACCGGUACUAAUGAACCGUGAGGCUUAACCUU